UUGAACGCUGGCGGCAGGCCUAACACAUGCAAGUUGAGCGGUAGCACAGAGAGCUUGCUCUCGGGUGACGAGCGGCGGACGGGUGAGUAAUGUCUGGGAAACUGCCUGAUGGAGGGGGAUAACUACUGGAAACGGUAGCUAAUACCGCAUAAUGUCGCAAGACCAAAGUGGGGGACCUUCGGGCCUCAUGCCAUCAGAUGUGCCCAGAUGGGAUUAGCUAGUAGGUGGGGUAACGGCUCACCUAGGCGACGAUCCCUAGCUGGUCUGAGAGGAUGACCAGCCACACUGGAACUGAGACACGGUCCAGACUCCUACGGGAGGCAGCAGUGGGGAAUAUUGCACAAUGGGCGCAAGCCUGAUGCAGCCAUGCCGCGUGUGUGAAGAAGGCCUUCGGGUUGUAAAGCACUUUCAGCGGGGAGGAAGGCGGUGAGGUUAAUAACCUCAUCGAUUGACGUUACCCGCAGAAGAAGCACCGGCUAACUCCGUGCCAGCAGCCGCGGUAAUACGGAGGGUGCAAGCGUUAAUCGGAAUUACUGGGCGUAAAGCGCACGCAGGCGGUCUGUCAAGUCGGAUGUGAAAUCCCCGGGCUCAACCUGGGAACUGCAUUCGAAACUGGCAGGCUAGAGUCUUGUAGAGGGGGGUAGAAUUCCAGGUGUAGCGGUGAAAUGCGUAGAGAUCUGGAGGAAUACCGGUGGCGAAGGCGGCCCCCUGGACAAAGACUGACGCUCAGGUGCGAAAGCGUGGGGAGCAAACAGGAUUAGAUACCCUGGUAGUCCACGCCGUAAACGAUGUCGAUUUGGAGGUUGUGCCCUUGAGGCGUGGCUUCCGGAGCUAACGCGUUAAAUCGACCGCCUGGGGAGUACGGCCGCAAGGUUAAAACUCAAAUGAAUUGACGGGGGCCCGCACAAGCGGUGGAGCAUGUGGUUUAAUUCGAUGCAACGCGAAGAACCUUACCUGGUCUUGACAUCCACAGAACUUUCCAGAGAUGGAUUGGUGCCUUCGGGAACUGUGAGACAGGUGCUGCAUGGCUGUCGUCAGCUCGUGUUGUGAAAUGUUGGGUUAAGUCCCGCAACGAGCGCAACCCUUAUCCUUUGUUGCCAGCGGUUAGGCCGGGAACUCAAAGGAGACUGCCAGUGAUAAACUGGAGGAAGGUGGGGAUGACGUCAAGUCAUCAUGGCCCUUACGACCAGGGCUACACACGUGCUACAAUGGCAUAUACAAAGAGAAGCGACCUCGCGAGAGCAAGCGGACCUCAUAAAGUAUGUCGUAGUCCGGAUUGGAGUCUGCAACUCGACUCCAUGAAGUCGGAAUCGCUAGUAAUCGUAGAUCAGAAUGCUACGGUGAAUACGUUCCCGGGCCUUGUACACACCGCCCGUCACACCAUGGGAGUGGGUUGCAAAAGAAGUAGGUAGCUUAACCUUCGGGAGGGCGCUUACCACUUUGUGAUUCAUGACUGGGGUG
rnacentral:rRNA from 1 species